UCAUAAUUUCAUUCGAUUAUUUCAUCAAUUUCCUAAAGGACUGACUAAAUUUAAGUUCUCAAGUACAUAUAUUUUUUCCUAAAAAAUUUUUUGUUCCAGUUAACGAAAUUUCGUCUUCAUUCAAUUACGGGAUGCAGUGUCUUCGUGUCGAACGGAUCAGAGCCUCAGGGAGCUCUUGGUGUUCAUUCCAGAGCGAAUAAAGUGCAUUCCUGUAAGAUGAUUUCUGAGUAUAUUGCGGAUGUGGAAAAAGUCGGCCUGAAGGCAUACAGAUAUUUCCAGCCACCGACCCCUGAGCCACCGGUCGACGUCGUCUGGACUUCCCACUGCGCCCACUGGGUGGGGGUAUCAAAAUACGAAGCGCAACAAAUGUUGGAGUGGAUCCGGCAGAAAAACCGGAGCCUGCCGAAGGGGAAGGACUGGUGCCCGCAGAGCAGGACAUAGAGCGUCCUGCUGCUGAAGGGGCAGACCGACAGGAAGGUGGCGACGCAUGGUAUUGGGAUCCGCUUCGUGGAUUUAGUCUGUAUUGAUUUCGCUGCUAUUGCUGAUAUUGCGGCGCGGACACGGCUGACCGAGUUCGGCUCAUCCGAACUGACGCCCGAGUCCUCGGAUGCCAAUGAUGGUGUAGUGACAUCUACCUCGGCAGCUGCCGAGGCUCCAAUCGAGGGGAUGAUGUACUAUGGAUUUUGAUUGUGUCUAAAAUAAGAUUUAAGCCAAAACAA